rnacentral:tRNA from 1 species
GAGGGUAUAGCUCAGUGGUAGAGAGCUUGCUUAGCAUGCAUGAGGUCCUGGGUUCAAUCCUCAGUACCUCCA